rnacentral:rRNA from 1 species
UAGAGCUAAUACAUGCUGUGCGCCUAACUUCAUGGAAAGGCGGUAUUUAUUAGAUAACAACCAAUAUUCCUCGUGUCUAUCGUGGUGAGUCAUAAUAACUGAUCGAAUUGCAAAGCCCUUGGCUGCGAUAAGUCAUUCAAGUUUCUGCCCCAUCAGCUGUAGAUGGUAGUGUAUUGGACUACCAUGGCUUUCACGGGUAACGGAGGAUUAGGGUUCGAUUCCGGAGAGGGAGCCUGAGAAACGGCUACCACAUCUAAGGAAGGCAGCAGGCGCGUAAAUUACCCAAUCCUGACUCAGGGAGGUAGUG